rnacentral:tRNA from 1 species
CCGGGGUAGCUCAGUUGGCAGAGCAACGGACUGUUAAUCCGUGGGUCGUGGGUUCGAGCCCCACCCCCGG